rnacentral:miRNA from 1 species
UAUAGGUCUGCGUCGUGAAGUGC